UACGGAGGAUGCAAGCGUUAUCCGGAAUGACUGGGCGUAAAGCGUCCGCAGGUGGCAAUGUAAGUCUGCUGUCAAAGCGUCUGGCUCAACCAGAUAAAGGCAGUGGAAACUACAUAGCUAGAGUAAGGUAGGGGUAGAGGGAAUUCCUGGUGUAGCGGUGAAAUGCGCAGAUAUCAGGAAGAACACCCGUGGCUAAGGCGGUUCUCUAGUACGGUACUGACGCUGAGACGCGAAAGCGUGGGGAGCGAACAGG
rnacentral:rRNA from 1 species